GACGAACGCUGGCGGCGUGCUUAACACAUGCAAGUCGAACGGAAAGGCCCUGCUUUUGUGGGGUGCCCGAGUGGCGAACGGGUGAGUAACACGUGAGUAACCUGCCCUUGACUUUGGGAUAACUUCAGGAAACUGGGGCUAAUACCGGAUAGGAGCUCCUGCUGCAUGGUGGGGGUUGGAAAGUUUCGGCGGUUGGGGAUGGACCCGCGGCUUAUCAGCUUGUUGGUGGGGUAGUGGCUUACCAAGGCUUUGACGGGUAGCCGGCCUGAGAGGGUGACCGGCCACAUUGGGACUGAGAUACGGCCCAGACGCCUACGGGAGGCAGCAGUGGGAAUAUUGCACAAUGGGCGGAAGCCUGAUGCAGCAACGCCGCGUGCGGGAUGACGGCCUUCGGGUUGUAAACCGCUUUCGCCUGUGACGAAGCGUGAGUGACGGUAAUGGGUAAAGAAGCACCAGCUAACUACGUG
rnacentral:rRNA from 1 species